rnacentral:rRNA from 2 species
UACGAGUGCCUCAAGCGUUAUCCGGAAUUAUUGGGCGUAAAGGUUGUGUAGGUGGUCGUGUUAGUCUCUUGUUAAAUUCUUCGGCUUAACCGGGGGCAUGCAAGGGAAACGGCACGACUUGAGGAUGCGAGGGGUCUGCGGAACUCAUAGUGUAGCGGUGAAAUGCGUUGAUAUUAUGGGGAACACCAAAAGCGAAGGCAGCAGACUGGAGCACUCCUGACACUGAAACAAGAAAGCGUGGGUAGCGAAUGGG